rnacentral:rRNA from 1 species
UACAGAGGGUGCAAGCGUUAAUCGGAAUCACUGGGCUUAAAGCGUUCGUAGGCGGGCUUGCAGGCGCGUUGUGAAAGCCCCCGGCUCAACCGGGGAACUGCUUCGCGAACCGCAAGUCUUGAGUCAAGUAGGGGCGGUCGGAACGAUAGGUGGAGCGGUGAAAUGCGUAGAUAUCUAUCGGAACGCCAGAGGUGAAGACAGGCCGCUGGGCUUGUACUGACGCUGAGGAACGAAAGCGUGGGGAGCAAACGGG